rnacentral:tRNA from 1 species
UGCCGGGUCGGCUAAUGGUAGGCCAAAUGCCUCUGGAGCAUUGAAUGAACGUUCGAAUCGUUCCCCGGCAG